CCUACGGGAGGCAGCAGUGGGGAAUAUUGCACAAUGGGGGAAACCCUGAUGCAGCGACGCCGCGUGAGUUCCGCCUUUCUUCUUUCUUUUCCGCUCUUUCCGCCGUGCCGCCCCUGCCGGUCCCUGAUUAAGAAGCCCCGGCGAACUACGUGCCAGCAGCCGCGGUAAUACGCCGGGGGCACGCGUUAUCCGGAUUUACUGGGUGUACCGGGAGCGUAGCAGGCAGCCAAAGUCUGGAGUGAACUGCCGGGGCUUAACCCCGGAACGGCUUUGGACACUGUGCCGCUCGAGUGCCGGAGAGGUAAGUGGAAUUCCUGGUGUAGCGGUGAAAUGCGUAGAUAUUAGGAGGAACACCAGUGGCGAAGGCGGCUUACUGGACUGUAACUGACGUUGAGGCUCGAAAGCGUGGGGAGCAAACAGGAUUAGAUACCCCAGUAGUC
rnacentral:rRNA from 1 species